AUUGAACGCUGGCGGCAGGCCUAACACAUGCAAGUCGAACGAGUGGCGGACGGGUGUGUAUUGUCUGGGAAACUGCCCCAUGGAGGGGGAGAUCUAUUGUAAACGGUAGCUAAUACCCCGCACCAUCGGAUGUGCCCAGAUGGGAUUUUCUUGUAGGUGAGGUAACGGCUCACCCAGGCGACGAUCCCUAGCUGUUCUGAGAGGAUGACCAGCCACACCGGAACUGAGACACGGUCCAGACUCCUACGGGAGGCAGCAGUGGGGAAUAUUGCACAAUGGGCGCAAGCCUGAUGCAGCCAUGCCGCGUGUAUGAAGAAGGCCUUCGGGUUGUAAAGUACUUUCAGCGGGGAGGCGUUACCCGCAGAAGAAGCACCGGCUAACUCCGUGCCAGCAGCCGCGGUAAUUC
rnacentral:rRNA from 1 species